rnacentral:lncRNA from 1 species
GUAGAGGAUGGAAAUAGAAACAUUACAUCUGAAUUUGAUCUGAACUAUGUCUGAACUGGAAUAAUACAUGUAUACAUAUGUAACAUCUCUAUCCUGAACCUAGAUCAAACAUGCUUCUAAGAUGAACUAAAUCUCUGAACUGGAAACUCUCUAUGAGUAACUGUUGUUGAGUUACAUUGCUUCUUACACACUGAGUUCAUAACUCACCCUGUUAUUGUUUGGGUUUCAGGUGGUAAUCAG